rnacentral:rRNA from 1 species
AAACCAGCACCUCAAGUGGUCAGGAUGAUUAUUGGGCCUAAAGCAUCCGUAGCCGGCUCAGUAAGUUUUCGGUUAAAUCUGUACGCUUAACGUACAGGCUGCCGGGAAUACUGCAGAGCUAGGGAGUGGGAGAGGUAGACGGUACUCGGGAGGAAGUGGUAAAAUGCUUUGAUCUCUCGAUGACCACCUGUGGCGAAGGCGGUCUACCAGAACACGUCCGACGGUGAGGGAUGAAAGCUGGGGGAGCAAACCGGAUUAGAAACCCCGGUAGUCC